AUCUGGCAGGUAGGUUCCUUAUAGGACGUAGACAUCCGCUAAGAACGGAUGUUACGAAAUUCGACCCCUAAGGGGAUAAAACGGGGGUUGGAAGUUUGUAUGAAAGUCCUAUGUUUUUGAAGUAAGAUACUUGAAAUUUAAAAUGUAUGCUCUAUAGAUGGUGAGAAGGUGUCUAAAUAAUGUAUCUUUAGAAAUCAACUCCCUUUUGGGGUUAAAACGGGGGAUGGUAAGUUAACCCACUCAUCACGAAAUCUCCGAAACUAUAACAGCCACAAACUUGAAAUCUGGCAGGUAGGUUCCUUAUAGGGCGUAGACAUCCGUUAAUACCGAGUUUUAUGAAACUCGGCCCCUAAGGGGGUAAAACGGGAGUUG
rnacentral:misc_RNA from 1 species